AUCUCACUAAUGAAUGAAGACGAAAAGAAGACAUUGUCACUCAAAUCCGGAAAGGUUUUCGAAAGAGAGCUGUUCAAAGGGAACACCUCUUCCUUCAGCCACGUGCAUGGACCUAAAGACUCAGAGGUGAAAAUUUUUAGGGUGCUGCCACCCAAGCUGAAUUUCAAUAGUUUGGCUAAAUGAUCCAA